AGAGAGGGCGGGGGAGGGGGAAAGAGAGAGCCAAUCACGAAAGAAAAGCCACUGGCAAAGACGCUAAGAGGAACCUUAUCACUAAGGGCGGGAGCACGUUCAGUGGCUAAAAUAGCAUCCAGCUGCAAGAACGCGCGCUCGAGCUGCUAAGGCAAUAGGAAAGGAACCUCCCUCACCCUCCCGCUGUGAAGGGGCGGGCUUUGCUAUUUUCGCCGCGAGGCGGGGGAGCGUCCCUUCCCCCGCUUGAGAGGCGGUCGGCCGGGAUUCCGCCUCUCCUCCCCCUCGCGCACGCCCAGUCAUAAAAGCUUCUACCGCCGUUGGGUACACAUUUAUCAUGUUUGACAGCCGAGUUGUGGGCUUGUUUACUUCGAAGCGAUCUGGCGGCCUAAUCUUCCAUUUCCAGCCGUGUGCACGUGUGAAGCUUGUCCCAGAGAAGGCCAGACUAAAAAAAACUUCCGUUGAAUCGUUCACUGUUUGGGACAGUGGGUUAUGUAGUAUCGUCUUCAGCGGGACAGAGAAGAAAAAAACAAGUCUUUAAAAAAAUGGCAGAUCUUAAGAUGGUGCUUUGUUAAAAAGAGUAGCUGAUUGUGCCCGAAAGAGCCCCAAAUCCCACAACUUUCGAGGAACAGGACGUUUUUCGGUGCCGAGCAAUGAAUUUCUGAGGGCAACUGUAGCCUUCCUGAAUUGCCACCCCGAACAUCCUUACCCCUGCUGUCCGGAAUAUUGGAAUUCUUCGACAUCUGGAGGGCCGACUUUGCCCGGGUAUAAUUUGGCAGGUUCUGCAUUGCUGAUGGUGGGGCCCAGGUAAAGACCCAUAUUGGGAGGAACUGAAGCCAGUGGUGAGUGGGGUCACCUCCUGCAGACACUUAACUUGUCUUUCCCAUUUCCCACUCCCUGUUCAGUGGCUUGCUUCACCACGUGAAAUCCCAAAACACGGGUUUCAUACUCCUAGUGUUUUCUCACAGGUGCAGGGUCCAAGUGUUGAUCCAUUGGUUGCAACAGAAAUUGACCAACUGGCUUGUUGAGGCUGAGAGACUGAUUGGCUCAAAGUCACCCAGUUGGCUUUCAUACGUAAGGCAGGACCAGAAUUCAGUCUAUAGUUUCUAGCAUUGCUCACUAGACUAGACCAAAUUGGCUGACGUAUAAUGUCUAUUUGUAUACUCAAUGUUUCAAAAAUCCCCAACAUACUGCAAUAUAUCAAGUGGAGAUCUCAUCCUGCCUUCCUAACCAAGAUGUUUGCCACUGAAAAUCCCAGAAACUAAACCUGACAUUGUCUGCAUAUAAUGGGUAUGCACUGCUGAAAACUAUGGACCCUCCCAACUCAUUUUCUAACAUCCAAAGUAAAAGCAGUUUGUGGCUACCUCUGGCCAAGGACCAACACAUUCUGUAGGUCAAUGGCCAACUUUCCUUCGCACUUUUCACUAGGGAAAAAACGGAUAUUUUGCCAACAUUCUGUGCUUUUCUAAUAAAAUGAGCACGUGCAACACAGCUGAGACUUGUAUUCAACCAGUUAUAAAAAAAUUGAAUGCUGUCACUAAGCAAAGUAUUAACUAUGUUGGUCUAAAAUCAGAUUUUUGAUAUCUGCCUGAAAGUCACCUAGCAAAUAAAGAUUUUAAUAAUUAUGGUUUCAAUAACUGGAAAUCCCUCACUAUUAUUUUUUAAGCUGCUUUACUAUGUUAUUUCAUUGGGGCUCCUUUGUUAUUAAGAAAUUUAUCUUUGAUCUGAGGAUUGUUUACAAAAAUCAAAAGUAUACAAAUACUAACACAUGUAAAUUACUCAGCAAGGCAAUAAAACACCACAUGAAAAUGAUUUUAAAAACAGCAGAAACAAUAGCUCCUAUUGAUUAUUGUUUCUAUUUUUUAAAAUCUAGUUUAAAGAUUUUUUACUUACAGUACUAGAUACGCUGUAUACUCUUUUAACUAAUUGGGAAGACUGUUAUCCCUCAUAAUUAGGAUUCUUAUUUAAUAAGCAUACAUUGAACAGAUGGGAAUAAAUUAUUUGAUAGUAGUUUAAUACUUAACAUUAAAAUACUUAAUCCAUGUUAA